rnacentral:rRNA from 1 species
CAGCAGCCGCGGUAAUACGAAGGGGGCUAGCGUUGUUCGGAAUUACUGGGCGUAAAGCGCACGUAGGCGGAUAUUUAAGUCAGGGGUGAAAUCCCGCAGCUCAACUGCGGAACUGCCUUUGAUACUGGGUAUCUUGAGUAUGGAAGAGGUUAGUGGAAUUGCGAGUGUAGAGGUGAAAUUCGUAGAUAUUCGCAGGAACACCAGUGGCGAAGGCGGCUAACUGGUCCAUAACUGACGCUGAGGUGCGAAAGCGUGGAGAGCAAACAGGAUUAGAGACCCGCGUAGUCCCUGUCUCUUAUAC